GGGGCGCCACGCCGCGGGGACCCACUAGCCUUUUGCUUCGCGACCUGGGGCCCGCGCGACCGAGGCGGGCAGGCAGGCGCAAGCUCCCGGGCCGGCCCGCCCCCACCUCCCUGGCACCGAAGCGGCUGCCGGGGCGCGCUCGGCGGCUGCGCUCCAAGGCGCCGGCUGCCAUGAUUGCGGGCAGCGGGACGCGCGCGCACGCUCGGGCCCGGCUCCGGGACCCUCCGCGGACCGACAGUCGCGGCCUGCCCGCAGCCCUGUGCGCGCUGCGGGCAGCGCGAGGGUCUCCCGGCUUAUUUCAGUGGGACCAUUGUGUAUCUUGGAGCUCUAGACCAGGCACUAGGACAGUACUCGUGGCCGACAGUGGCAGUGGCUUUCCCCAGGGCAGGUCGCGCGCACGGGCGCCCAGCAGCCUCUUCCCGGACACCACCGGCCCCGCGGAGCAAGGGGCGCGGUACCCUUUGGGCUGUGGUGGAGCGGAUCCCGCGAGCGGGAGUGGGAGGACAGCGCACUAUGCCGGAGAUGGCGCAGAAACUGCGGGGAGAAGUUCAAGGCCGCAGCUUUGCUCUCAGCCCGACGGCGACACUGCUGGCUCCAGGCCACACUGUUCUUUCCUGGGCUCCUUCAGGGGAAGGGGAACGCCUGGGCUCCAUGGCCUGGACACUGGUUAGGAUGUCAAGGAGUCUGCAGCGUCUUUCCCCGCCGGCUUUGCAGGGGCGUCCGAGCCGUCCGCAAACUGCAGAGGCGCAGGCCUGGGACUCUGGCCCUGGGGAACACCCGUCAGCACACAGUCGCUACACUCAGACCCCUUCCCCCUGCCUGGGUAUGCUCUGGCUCAGAGCCACGCCGACCUAGCUCUUCCUGAACGCCAGCGAUGGCCCCGUUGAUGGCCAGGGCCCGAGAGAAACAUGGCCUCGGGGCCCCAUCCCACUCUCUGUGCCUGUCUCCCCCCUACUACCCCCCCUGGCCUUGGCAUUCUAACCAGUGUCCCUUGACGUCACAUCUCGCCAUUUCUGUCAACCAAUUGAAACUUGCCCGUUGUCAUAAAAAUAUAUAUUUUUAUGCCAUUGGUAAAUUCAAAAGUUCCUUGCAUGCCCAGCUGCCCAGGAAACUCCACUCCACGUUGGAUUGGAUUGCCCAGGAGGGGAAAACUGGCCACUUAGUUAAGGCUGGGCUAGACAGCACUGUGAGGACCCGGGGCUGUCCAAACUCGGUGGACCCCAUGGCCUUGGCUAGUGCUGGACACUACACACCAGCAUCAUCACCACAACCCAUGACACAGAAUGGGGGGGGGGGGGCGGGAAUCCAGGAUAUGCUAAGAAAUCUUCCCAGUUGCUUUCCUGGGAGUCUGGGGUGUGGAAUCUUACUUCUUUUUACUAGGGUUAGCUUGCUUUUUCCCUAUCAGAAAACUAGGGUUUAGAAAACAGAGCCGAAACAUUUCCAGCCCACGUUUUCACUGGAAUUUUUACCAACUUUCACUUUCCAUGGCUGCCAGCAGCAGUAAAGAUUCGGCCCAAGCAGGAGCCAUUUCACUCUUUCCUGCAGAGGGUGCAUUGUGGCCUCUGCCUCAAGAGCUGUGGGACCCAGGGCCAGGAGCCCUGGAGCCCUGUGCCCCUUCCUCAGAAGA